GAUUAACGCUAGCGGCAGGCCUAAUACAUGCAAGUCGAACGGGGAAAGCUUUCGGGUGAGUACUAGUGGCGCACGGGUGAGGAACGCGUGGAUAAUCUGCCUUAGAGUGGGGGAUAACUAGUCGAAAGAUUAGCUAAUACCGCAUAAGACCACAGGAGCUGCGGCUCUAGGGGUCAAAGGUUUUUCGCUCUAAGAUGAGUCCGCGUAAGAUUAGCUAGUUGGUGAGGUAACGGCUCACCAAGGCGACGAUCUUUAACUGGUCUGAGAGGAUGAUCAGUCACACUGGAACUGAGACACGGUCCAGACUCCUACGGGAGGCAGCAGUAGGGAAUAUUGCACAAUGGAGGAAACUCUGAUGCAGCGACGCCGCGUGAGUGAUGAAGGCCUUCGGGUCGUAAAGCUCUGUCGCAGGGGAAUAACACAAUGAAUGUACCCUGUAAGAAAGGAUCGGCUAACUUCGUGCCAGCCGCCGCCGUAACAC
rnacentral:rRNA from 1 species